AACGCUAGCUACAGGCUUAACACAUGCAAGUCGAGGGGCAGCAUGGUCUUAGCUUGCUAAGGCCGAUGGCGACCGGCGCACGGGUGAGUAACGCGUAUCCAACCUGCCUUACACUCUUGGACAGCCUUCUGAAAGGGAGAUUAAUACAAGAUGUUAUCAUGAGUAAGCAUUUUCGCAUGAUUAAAGGUUUACCGGUGUAAGAUGGGGAUGCGUUCCAUUAGAUAGUAGGCGGGGUAACGGCCCACCUAGUCUUCGAUGGAUAGGGGUUCUGAGAGGAAGGUCCCCCACAUUGGAACUGAGACACGGUCCAAACUCCUACGGGAGGCAGCAGUGAGGAAUAUUGGUCAAUGGACGAGAGUCUGAACCAGCCAAGUAGCGUGAAGGAUGAAGGUUCUAUGGAUUGUAAACUUCUUUUAUACGGGAAUAAACGGAUCCACGUGUGGAUUUUUGCAUGUACCGUAUGAAUAAGGAUCGGCUAACUCCGUGCCAGCAGCCGCGGUAAUACGGAGGAUCCGAGCGUUAUCCGGAUUUAUUGGGUUUAAAGGGAGCGUAGAUGGGUUGUUAAGUCAGUUGUGAAAGUUUGCGGCUCAACCGUAAAAUUGCAAUUGAUACUGGCAGUCUUGAGUACAGUUGAGGUAGGCGGAAUUCGUGGUGUAGCGGUGAAAUGCUUAGAUAUCACGAAGAACUCCGAUUGCGAAGGCAGCUUACUAACCUGUAACUGACAUUGAUGCUCGAAAGUGUGGGUAUCAAACAGGAUUAGAUACCCUGGUAGUCCACACGGUAAACGAUGAAUACUCGCUGUAGGCGAUAUACAGUCUGCGGCCAAGCGAAAGCAUUAAGUAUUCCACCUGGGGAGUACGCCGGCAACGGUGAAACUCAAAGGAAUUGACGGGGGCCCGCACAAGCGGAGGAACAUGUGGUUUAAUUCGAUGAUACGCGAGGAACCUUACCCGGGCUUAAAUUGCAACCGAAUAUGGCGGAAACGCUAUAGCUAGCAAUAGCGGUUGUGAAGGUGCUGCAUGGUUGUCGUCAGCUCGUGCCGUGAGGUGUCGGCUUAAGUGCCAUAACGAGCGCAACCCUUGCCGAUAGUUACUAACAGGUCAUGCUGAGGACUCUGUCGGGACUGCCAUCGUAAGAUGUGAGGAAGGUGGGGAUGACGUCAAAUCAGCACGGCCCUUACGUCCGGGGCUACACACGUGUUACAAUGGGGGGUACAGAGGGCUGCUACCACGCAAGUGGAUGCCAAUCCCAAAAACCUCUCUCAGUUCGGAUUGAAGUCUGCAACCCGACUUCAUGAAGCUGGAUUCGCUAGUAAUCGCGCAUCAGCCACGGCGCGGUGAAUACGUUCCCGGGCCUUGUACACACCGCCCGUCAAGCCAUGGGAGCCGGGGGUACCUGAAGUGCGUAACCGCAAGGAGCGCCCUAGGGUAAAACUGGUGACUGG
rnacentral:rRNA from 1 species